AAGGAGUCUAACAUGUAUGCGAGUAUUUGAGUGUCAAACUCAAGUGCGUAAUGAAAGUAAUACUUAAGAUGGGAUCUUGGACUUUGCUUCAAGUGCACCAUCAACCGAUCUGGAUAUUCGUUUGAAAGAUUUGAGUAUGAGCAUAUCUGUUGGGACCCGAAAGAUGGCAAACUAUGCCUGAAUAGGGUGAAGCCAGAGGAAACUCUGGUGGAGGCUCGUAGCGGUACUGACGUGCAAGUCGAUGGGCAGAUUUGGGUAUAGGGGCGAAAGACUAAUCAAACCAUCUAGUAGCUGGUGCC
rnacentral:misc_RNA from 1 species